UGUUAAAAAUUUCAUCCAUUUGUACUUCUAAAGCUGGCGUGGCUGAUUGAAUAUUCAGAUAGUGACAUGUUGCGUGCCACAUAUACCUCAUGUUGAUGUAUAGGAACUAGUUUUUAAUAGUAAAAUUGGAUGAAAUUUUUAUCA
rfam:Gossypium raimondii Chr13_contig_25, whole genome shotgun sequence.